UAUAGAGAGGCUUUAAACGCGCUAAUUAAAUUUGGUAUCCCGGUUCAUCAAGAAGGCUUAAAUCAGCUUAAGCUAGAAAGCCAAUUAAUUGAUAAAAUGUCCCAGCUGGUUGAUACAGUUCCUGAAAAUGAGUUGGUAGAAGUAAAAGCCAUGCCAUUAAAAGAAGCUGUAAAGCAGCUUUUGCAGACACUUAACGCAAAUCCUGGAGUUAACACACAUCCUGGACAUAAUGUAAAUCAAAAUCCUGCUCCAACGCUUAAUAUAACUCAGAUGUCACAGAACAUUCAAAUCACUCAAGAUCCAGAAACACAUCUUGAAGGGAAGGUCGAGAAAGAAAUAACACCAUCGAGCCAGACUGUUGUGGAAUCAGAAAUUGAGCUGGAAUCCGAUGAGAAACUGGUGAAAACUUUUUCGAAAAUCGUACAGGAAACGCUUCAAAAUGGAAUACAUGCAGAAAAAUCGGCAUUAUUAAAAACACUGGAUGUUCAGACGACGAUUCAAAAUCUGGUUCUAUCGGAUCAUUUACUCGGUCGCGAAAUGGGCCAGGAGAGAAAAAUGAAUUUGAGUGAUUUAUUAACACAGCUGACAGACCAGUUAGACAAAUUGCUAAAUGGGUUAGAAGGUAAGACAAAGUGCAUUCAUGCAGAUUUCGAACAUCAUCAAAGAAUGG
rnacentral:rRNA from 1 species